AGCGUUAUGAACUUUCGACUGAGCUCAGUGAUCUCCUCCUGCUGCUGGCAGCACCCCCACCAUUACUUAGCACUGAGACAGGAGUCUUGCAUUGCUGUCCUCUGAGUGGAUCCACCUAGCAGCUGACUCUGACAGAUGUAGACACCCACAGCCAAACAGUGGAUGGAGCUUAAAGACUCUUAUAAAAGAAUAAGAGGAAGAAUCACAGCCCUGAAGGAUAGGAACUCUACAGGAAGAUCAACAGAAUCAACUAAACUGGACCCUUAAAACUCUCAGAGACUGAACCACCAACCAAAGAACAUACAUGGAAUGGACCUAGGCCUCCCCUCACACAUGUACCAGCUUGAUCUUCAUGUAGGUUCCCAACAAUCGGAGCAGUGGCCAUCCAAAAAGCUGUUGCCUGCACAUGGGAUAUGUUCCUCUAGGUGGGCUGCUCCAGGCUUGUCUGGCUGCAGUAGGAGAGGAUGAGCCUAACCUUGCAGAGACUUGAUAUGCGGGGUUUGGGGGGAUACCCAGGGGAGCCCCCACCCACUCAGAGAGGGUAUGGGGAAAGCAAUUUUGGUAGAGGGUGACUGGGAAUGGGGCAGUGAGAAGGAUGUAAAGAAAAUAAGGGAAAAAUAAAAUGAAAUAAAUAUAAAGGGG
rnacentral:lncRNA from 1 species